AUUUUUUGUAGGAGUAGUUUAUAGUCUCAUCCCAGUGCUAGCUCCCUAUAAGCCUGUGGGAUCAAAAUUCUAUUCUGCCUUGUCCCCCUACUCUCUCAGUGCGAAUGCGGAUAGAGGCAGUUAUUCACUCAAUAUCUGGUAGAAAGAAGAAGAGCCUAGAAAAUCUCUCAGACUCUAAAGAACCAGCCCAUUAUCUACCCUUAAUCUAAUGAGUCGCCAUACUAUACUAGAUAAUAUUAAAG
rnacentral:lncRNA from 1 species